rnacentral:ncRNA from 2 species
GGGAAAUUCGGUGGUAUACUCCAUUCAAAAUUUAUACAAUUGUUUAAUUGAAACUGCUCUUGAGAGCUUUCUUCUUCUUCUUCCUUUCUUCAGAAUUUUUGAAAUAUGAGAAUAUGAAAAAGGAUGAGAGAGAGAGGGGGGAGGGUAAACCUUAGCGUGAAAACGCAUGGGCGAUGUUACAAGCAAUACAACACAUACAUUUUAUGUGAUGGGAAUUAGCAUCGUUAUUGAAUGGUUGACUGUUGACGAAUAAGAGAGAAGGGUGAAUCCAGUUUUAUGUGUCAUUUGUUUACCACUUGUGGUUUUAUAAAUUGCAUGGGGCUUCUUUCUCUCAUUCUCUCUUUCGCAGGAGUUGUUUAGUGCAAUAUGCGAACUUGGAUUAAAUCACAUUUAGUCCAAGCACCCGAUACCG